rnacentral:rRNA from 1 species
ACUCUGACGCAGCCAUGCCGCGUGCAGGAAGAAGGCGCUACGCGUUGUAACUGCUUUUAUCCGGGAAGAAACCCCAGGACGUGUCCUGGGUUGACGGUACCGGAGGAAUAAGCACCGGCUAACUUCGUGCCAGCAGCCGCGGUAAUAC